ACGAACGUUGAUGGCGUGCCUCAUACAUGCAAAUCGAGCGCCCCGCAAGGGGAGCGGCGCACGGGUGAGUAACACGUAAAGAAUCUGCCCUAAAGUGGGGAAUAACUAUCCCAACGGAUAGCUAAUACCGCAUAAAGACGGAGGUGGCAUCACCUCUACUCGAAAGGCUUUUAGCCGCUUUAGGAUGACUUUGCGUCCCAUUAGCUAGUUGGCGGUGUAACGGACCACCAAGGCUACGAUGGGUAUCCGGCCUGAGAGGGUGUACGGACACAUUGGGACUGAGAUACGGCCCAGACUCCUACGGGAGGCAGCAGUAGGGAAUUUUGCGCAAUGGGGGAAACCCUGACGCAGCAACGCCAUGUGUGGGAUGAAGCAUUUCGGUGUGUAAACCACUGUCAGCAGGGAAUAAAUGGCUUCUUCGGAGGCAAUCGAAUGUACCUGCAAAGGAAGCCCCGGCUAACUUCGUGCCAGCAGCCGCGGUAAUACGAGGGGGGCAAAUGUUGUUCGGAAUCACUGGGCGUAAAGGGAGCGUAGGCGGGUGUUUAAGUUAGGUGUUUAAUCCUGGGGCCCAACCCCAGUCGUGCACUUAAAACUGGACAUCUUGAAUAGGGGAGAGGUCAGUGGAAUUGGAGGUGUAGCGGUGGAAUGCGUAGAGAUCUCCAAGAACACCAGUUGCGAAGGCGGCUGACUGGACCCAUAUUGACGCUGAGGCUCGAAAGCAUGGGAGCAAACAGGAUUAGAUACCCUGGUAGUCCAUGCUAUAAACGAUGAAUACUAGGUUUUAGGCCCGUCAACGGUCUAGAGCCGCAGCUAACGCGUUAAGUAUUCCGCCUGGGGAGUACGGUCGCAAGACUGAAACUCAAAGGAAUUGACGGGGGCCCGCACAAGCGGUGGAGCAUGUGGUUUAAUUCGACGCAACGCGAAGAACCUUACCAUGGCUUAGAUCGAGUGAAAGACGCACGAGAUGCGUUGCCUCUCUCCGCAAGAGUUCACAAAGAGUGCUGCAUGGCUGUCGUCAGCUCGUGUCGUGAGAUGUUGGGUUAAGUCCCGCAACGAGCGCAACCCUUACCAGUUCAGUUACCAUCAUUCAGUUGGGACCUCUAUGGAGAGACUGCCGGUGAUAAACGCGGAGGAAGGUGGGGAUGACGUCAAGUCAUCAUGGCCCUUACGUCCAUGGCUACACACGUGCUACAAUGGACGGUACAAACCGGCAGCAAGAGCCGCAAGGGGAGCCAAUCCCCAAAAGAGCCUUCUCAGUUCAGAUUGUAGGUCUGCAACUCGACUACAUGAAGUUGGAAUCGCUAGUAAUCGCGGAUCAGCACGCCGCGGUGAAUACGUUCCCGGGCCUUCGUACACACCGCCCGUCAGCACGAAGGGAGUGAGGUCAGCCAUAAGCUCGGUCAGCUUAACCCGCAAGGAUGCCGCCGACCUAACGGUGAGAUUCAUGACUGGGGUG
rnacentral:rRNA from 1 species